GGUGUCAUUGGCUAUUCGCAGUGAGGCUACUGGGUUUGACUGUACGUUCUCUUGAUCCCUAGCCAUUCGGAUCCUUGCUGUGUAUAUUGACUUCAAUAGGUUCAGAUUUGCUGUUUGGAGUAUGAUGCACCUAGAUAGAAUCUAUCGAUCUUGAUAGAAAGGAAAAAGUCCUAUGCGAUUUAUGAGACUGAGUUCAGAAAGUCUUUGGCCA
rnacentral:lncRNA from 1 species